rnacentral:rRNA from 1 species
UGGGGAAUUUUGCACAAUGGGGGAAACCCUGAUGCAGCGACGCCGCGUGAUUUAGAAGGCCUUCGGGUUGUAAAAAUCUUUUCUAUGGGAAGAAAAUGACAGUACCAUAGGAAUAAGGACCGGCUAAUUACGUGCCAGCAGCCGCGGUAAUACGUAAGGUCCGAGCGUUGUCCGGAAUCAUUGGGCGUAAAGGGUACGUAGGCGGGUAAGCAAGUUAGAAGUGAAAUCCUAUAGCUCAACUAUAGUAAGCUUUUAAAACUGCACAUCUUGAAGUAUGGAAGGGAAAGUGGAAUUCCUAGUGUAGCGGUGAAAUGCGCAGAUAUUAGGAGGAAUACCGGUGGCGAAGGCGACUUUCUGGCCAUAACCUGACGCUGAGGUACGAAAGCGUGGGUAGCAAACAGG